UACGUGGGGGGCAAGCGUUGUUCGGAAUUACUGGGCGUAAAGGGCUCGUAGGCGGCCCACUAAGUCAGACGUGAAAUCCCUCGGCUUAACCGGGGAACUGCGUCUGAUACUGGAGGGCUUGAAUUCGGGAGAGGGAUGCAGAAUUCCAGGUGUAGCGGUGAAAUGCGCAGAUAUCAGGAAGAACACCCGUGGCGAAGGCGGCUCUCUGGGACGGUACUGACGCUGAGACGCGAAAGCGUGGGGAGCGAACAGG
rnacentral:rRNA from 1 species